AACUUAUGGAUUUAUUUUGUCUAUUCAGAUUAUACAUUUACAUUGUACACAUUGGUUCUAAGAUAAUAACAGCAAUGAAACAAAAAACAAGCUUGUUGUCAGGCUAUAACAAAGAGUAGCUGGUACACCUCUAUAAAUAUUUAUCAGAACUGUGUACCAAACACUUUAGGAAUAAGUUUGUAUCACUGUUAUCUUUAUUCAGGUUCCUUUAGAGGCUUCUAGUUUUUACAAUUUUUGUUUGUCUAUUAGAACACAUUUUUUACACACACAAAAAGAUUAAAUACGGCUAUAAAUCUUUAUAAACAGUUUUUUCAUACAAUGCAGAAAAGUUCAAUAUUUUUUUUUAUUUAGAAUGAAUAGGCUAAAAUCUUAUAUAAAUUUUCUGAAGAUUUUAUAUUUGAAAAACUGAAGAAAUACUUUUUUUCAUACACAAAACACAUGUUCAUAUAAAAUCCUUGGUUUGGUACACUCCAGACAUAAAAUGAUCAUUUGUGUUCCAGAUUUAUAACCUGAUACGUGGUUCUACAACAAGCUUGUUCUGGAACAACUUUUUAACAAGCAAAAUGAAUACAUUCAUUAUUAUAAAUAUUUUACAAUGUUUACAUUUAAAAUUUGAUGUAUAACCUUAUUUGAUCGGCCACAAACCAUGAUAUUAGAGCAGAAAAAAUCUCUACAAAAAGCAAACCAACUUCCAUACUAUCAACUGAUUCGUUCAUUUAAGAAACAAUGGAACAAAUUGGGAAUGUAUAUAUAUAUAUAUAAUAUUCUUAACAAAUCGAGGAUUUUUUUUCUCAAAAUCCAAGCUAAUUUUGUUCCUUAAAAAAUGUACAAACCAGAAACUUUCUUUCCAUUUUCAUGACAACUUAUUAAAAUCAAGCAAACUUACAUCUAGCAAGGUUCAUUUCUCCCUUCUUCCAAAGAUUCUUAAGGUGGUUCCUAACACCUUGACUAAUAUUAAAUAGCUCAAUCAUUUUUCCAAAUAAAUGGUCAAAAUAUUUACUUUGGACCCUUUGAUUUUUUUUUUAAACUUGAGCCACGCUCUUUUUUUGGAGAAUUUCAUUGGAUAUAUCGCAGUUUGGCACACACUAGUUUUUCCCACUGAGCAGUUUAAUAUUUCCCAAACAAUUGAUUAUGAUUAUAAUGUUCAGUUGAUUUUAAAAGAGUUAUCUCCCUGUACUGUUCUGUUCCACCUUAAAGCAAUAUAAUGAUUAAUUACACAAAGUUAAAUUUUGCAUGGUGACAUUUUAAUGCUUGAAUGACCAUCGCCAGAAAAAUGGAUGUUAAACAGAUGUAGGCCCAAUGACAGCUUUUGCAUUAGGGCUAUUCCAUUUAAAUGUAUGGGGGAGGAUAGUAAUGGACUAAAAAAAUCCUACAACCAAGAACCAUUUUUUAGAUAAUUUUGCAUAAUGGUAAUAGAUGCAUACUGAAAAGGACCUAUGACCCACAUUCAAUAAUUAAACUUCCCUUUCUACCCUCAAACAUUUUAAUGGAAUAGUCCUUAUCAGUAUACUACUAACAUCAUGUGCAUACCAAGGACAAAAAUACUCUUUAAAAUUGUCACGAAAAUGAAACAAUUUUUGAAGAAAAAGAUUUUGUUUUACUUUAUAAAGUGGUGGAAAAAUAAACAAUACUCUAGUCAACACAAAAAUAAAACUAUAUAGCACUUUCUAUUAAUUAUCUAAUAAUGAUAUACAUAUAUAACAAGAGUUCUCUCAAAUGCCUAGGAUAUGCUACAUACAUAAAAUAAAAACAUAUUUAUACACGUCUAUAAAGUCAACCUUAGAAAACCUUUGGCGACUACAUUAUUUAAACUCCAUUUAUUGCACAUAAAAACUUUAAGACUCUCACUGCAUCAAGCUGCCGUGUUGCAGUAUGACCUCCAACCUAUACAAAACACUACAAUUUCUAUAAUUUUAAUGUUUUAAAUCUUUAUUCUUGUUAUAUGGAUAACGAAAGUCAAUCAACACUUCUUGUUUGGUUGCACAAUUGACCUUAUUUCUCCAAAACAAUUUACCUAACUUAUAUAAAUAUACUAAAGUUUUAAUAAACUUUAUUUCAAUAAAAAAAAAAAUUGCUUUAAAAAUAAAUGCCACUUUCGACACUUUUGGCUAUAUAUAUAUAGUGGUGGUCAGUUUAUAAUUGUGGAGGAUGCCCGAGAGCCUGGGGAGAACCACUGACCUUUGGUAGGUAACUGGUAAUCCUAAUCAAUUAAGAUUGGGAGUAUUGGCGGAUCCAGGGGGGGGGGGGGGGGGUUCCAGGGGUUGGAACCCUCCUUUUUUUUUGACCGCUCAAUGCAUUUGAAAUGGCUGGAUCCGCCCCUGGGGAGAACUUAAACCCCUUAGCCACUUCACUAAAAAAACAUUGAAUUUCAAAUGACAUGACAAAGCUUAAGAACCCCACUGUUGAGAUAUGCAGUCUUCAUGAUGAACUGUUAAAUCUACAGGCCCCCGGAGCUCAAUUUUAGAAAAUGUUUAGUUAGAUUCUGUUUGCCUGCAAUUUUACAAAGCCUGAGCUGCCGUUCAGAGUGAAGACUGGAUAUGGCAAAGAUGUAAAUAAAGAUCUGCUGUUGUAUAUUAAAGUUCUUUAAAGCAGAAUUAAGCAACAAAAAAUGUUAAACUAGACAUGACAGUGUCCAUACAAUGGCAACAUCCUACACUGACUUUGGCAAAUAAAUAAAUACAACCAACACAAAUAUCCUAAGGAUCUCACAAUCAAUACAUUACCAAGCUCAUUUUAUUUGGAACAAUUCACCAACUAUAAAACAUGUUUAUGUUGUAUCAACACCAAUCUUAUUAAAAUAAGUUCUCAUCACUUGCUCCUCGAUUUUUUAUAUGUCACACGGCGACAUAUAAAAAAUCGAGGAGCAAGUGAUGAGAACUUAUUUUAAUAAGAUUGUAUCAACACCAACUAUAUAAUAUGUUAAUGUUGUAUCAACACCAACUACUGCAGAUUCAUUGUCCUUCGUUGGAUACAAAUUUACGUGGAUUUCGUGGGUACAGGUGAAACACAAAUUUUCAAGGAAUUACAAACUUUCCACAAGGUUGUAUAACCAAGAAAUUAAAUGUCCACAAAAAUACAAGUUUUCAUCAAACCACGAAACCUGGUACCCACAAAAAUAAAUGACUCCACAGUAUGUAAUAUGUUAAUGUUGUAUAAACACUAACUAUAGCACUUCAACAGAGUAUUUUGUUCACUAAACUUCACUAUAUAGCACAACUCUAGACACACAUUUUUAUUAAAUGUCAAAGAAGAAAGCAUUAUAUCAUAGAUUACAAAUUCAAAAUAUAUAUUAUAAACAAUGAACUAGAAAGAUUAGAUAUUACUCUGCCCUUAAUGAUCCAGCAGUGUUAUGAAUGGACAAAUAACAUGGAAACUUAUCUCAAUAACUUUUCUCCUAUUCAACAAGUUUUGUGAAAAAAUAGACUGGCCAUCAAUGCCCCUUUUUCAUUUCAUUUUAUUUCAUGCCAUCUUAAUGCCAAAUCCAUUCCAAAGAUAUUUCUUGAAAACAUGCUCACAACGCCAAUGAAUUCUUAGUAGGUAGUAAGUCUUCCCAUGCCCAACUCAAACAAUUUUAUCAUUUGAAUCUAAAUUAUGGGUUUUAUCGUUUUAUAGAAAGAAGGGAAUACUAAAAUUGAUCAAAUUAAAAUAUUAUCCCAAAAGACAAAUUUUUUUCAAAAUUAAUAUUGUUUUAUAUUCAUGACAUGGCAUUGAAGCCUUUAAACAGAUGCAGAAAAACUUCAGAUUUCUUUUAUUUUGCCUGAUACUAUUUUUAACAACAAAGCAAAGCUAAAGGUGUAGAUGUUCACCUUUGUUUAUAUAUACACUAAACUACUGUGGAUUCUUAAAUAUUCGUUGGAUACCAAUUUUCAUGGAUUUCGCAGGUACAACGGAUCCACGAAUUUAAAUUUUGCAAAUUUUCUAAAGGAAUGGAUGCAGACUUUGCCAAAACCAUGAAAUUAGAUAUCCACAAAUAUAUAUGCAAGUUUUUUUUUUCAAACAACGAAAAUUGGUACCCACGAAAAUAAAUGAAUCCACAUUACAUUAAUCUAUGAACAAAUUUAAACCAAUGUUGUACAUUUUUCAUUGUACAAAUGGAAAGAUAAAUCCUGUUCAAUGUAUGUCUACUUGUAAAUAGUGUAGCAAUUUUCAAUGCCUACAUGAAAAGAGUGUAGGCCACUUCACUGUCUACGUGAAAAGAGAAUAGCAAUUUCAACUGUCUAUAUUUUCACUGUCUACAUGGAUAGAAUGUAGCAAUGUUCAAAGUCUACAUGAAAAGAGUAUAGCCCGGUUCAAUGUCUACAUGAAAAGAGUAUAGCCCUGUUCAGUGUCUACAUGAAACAAGAGUGAACACGCUGAAAUGUCUCGCCUUCUAUACUAAUCAUUGAUAUUAUGUUGAUAGUCCUAAGUAAAAAGCUAAGCUUUAUAACAACUGUACCAUAAACUUAACAUUAACCAAGAUAACUAAACAAAGACCAAAUGAACCUUGAAAAUGAGGUCAAGGUCAGAUGAACCAUGCCAGGCAGACAUGUACAGCUAACAAUGCUUCUAUACAACAUAUAUAGUUGACCUAUUACUUAUAGUUUAAGAAAAAUAGACCAAAACACAAAAACUUAACACUGUGCAAUGAACUGUGAAAAUGAGGUCACGGUCAAAUAAAACCUGCGCGACUGACAUAAAGAUCAUUAAAUAUUUCCAUACACCAAAUAUAGUUGACCUAUGGCAUAUAGUAUUAGAUAAAAAGACCAAAACUCAAAAACUUAAUUUGACCACUGAACCAUGAAAAUGAGGUCAAGGUCACAUGACAUCUGCCCGCUAGACAUGUACACCUUACAAUCAUUCCAUACAACAAAUAUAGUAGACCUAUUGCAUAUAGUAUGAGAACAACAGACCAAAACACAAAAACUUAACUAUAACCACUGAACCAUGAAAAUGAGGUCAAGGUCAGAUGACACCUGCCAGUUGGACAUGUACACCUUACAGUCCUUCCAUACACCGAAUAUACUAGCCCUAUUGCUUAUAGUAUCUGAGAUAUGGACUUGACCACCAAAACUUAACCUUGUUCACUGAUCCAUGAAAUGAGGUCGAGGUCAAGUGAAAACUGUCUGACAGACAUUAGGACCUUGCAAGGUACGCACAUAUCAAAUAUAGUUAUCCUAUUACUUAUAAUAAGAGAGAAUUCAACAUUACAAAAAAUUUGAACUUUUUUUCAAGUGGUCACUGAACCAUGAAAAUGAGGUCAGGGACAUUGGACAUGUGACUGACGGAAACUUCGUAACAUGAAGCAUCUAUAUACAAAGUAUGAAGCAUCCAGGUCUUCCACCUUCUAAAAUAUAAAGCUUUUAAGAAGUUAGCUAACGCCGCCGCCGUAGCCGCCGGAUCACUAUCCCUAUGUCAAGCUUUCUGCAACAAAAGUUGCAGGCUCGACAAAAAGUAUAGCCCUGUUUAAUGUCUACAUGAAAAAAGUAUAGCCGUGUUCAAUGUAUACAUGAAAAAAGUAUAGCCAUGUUCAAUGUAUACAUAAAAUAGUUUUAUACUGUUCGAUGUCUACAUCAAAAUAUCUAUAACGCUUUUGGAUAGUCAAACUAUGUUCAAUAUUUGUGAGAAAAAAAAACUGA
rnacentral:lncRNA from 1 species